rnacentral:rRNA from 1 species
CAAUAGCGUAUAUUAAAGUUGUUGCGGUUAAAAAGCUCGUAGUUGGAUUUCUGCCGAGGACGACCGGUCCGCCCUCUGGGUGAGUAUCUGGCUCGGCCUGGGCAUCUUCUUGGAGAACGUAUCUGCACUUGACUGUGUGGUGCGGUAUCCAGGACUUUUACUUUGAGGAAAUUAGAGUGUUUCAAGCAGGCCCACGCCUUGAAUACAUUAGCAUGGAAUAAUAAGAUAGGACCUCGGUUCUAUUUUGUUGGUUUCUAGAGCUGAGGUAAUGAUUAAUAGGGAUAGUUGGGGGCAUUCGUAUCAACACGUCAGAGGUGGAAUUCUUGGAUUGUGUUGCGACGAACUACUGCGAAAGCAUCUGCCAUGCAUGUUUUCAUUGAUCAAGAACGAAAGUAAGGGGAUCGAAGAUGAUUAGAUACCGU